rnacentral:rRNA from 1 species
GUGUCAGCCGCCGCGGUAAUACGUAGGUGGCAAGCGUUGUCCGGAUUUACUGGGCGUAAAGGGAGCGUAGGUGGAUAUUUAAGUGGGAUGUGAAAUCCCCGGGCUUAACCUGGGGGCUGCAUUCCAAACUGGAUGUCUAGAGUGCAGGAGAGGAGAGUGGAAUUCCUAGUGUAGCGGUGAAAUGCGUAGAGAUUAGGAAGAACACCAGUGGCGAAGGCGACUCUCUGGACUGUAACUGACACUGAGGCUCGAAAGCGUGGGGAGCAAACAGGAUUAGAUACCCUGGUAGUCCACGCCGUAAACGAUGGGUACUAGGUGUAGGGGUUUCGAUACCUCUGUGCCGCCGUUAACACAAUAAGUACCCCGCCUGGGGAGUACGGUCGCAAGAUUAAA